rnacentral:rRNA from 1 species
CACAUGCAGUCGAACGGGAUCUUCGGAUCUAGUGGCGGACGGGUGAGUAACGCGUGGGAAUAUGCCCUUCGGUUCGGAAUAGCCCCGGGAAACUGGGAGUAAUACUGGAUACGGUCUACGGACGAAAGAUUUAUCGCCGAAGGAUUAGCCCGCGUUGGAUUAGGUAGUUGGUGGGGUAAUGGCCUAUCAAGCCGACGAUCCAUAGCUGGUUUGAGAGGAUGAUCAGCCACACUGGGACUGAGACACGGCCCAGACUCCUACGGGAGGCAGCAGUGGGGAAUCUUAGACAAUGGGGGCAACCCUGAUCUAGCCAUGCCGCGUGAUCGAUGAAGGCCUUAGGGUUGUAAAGAUCUUUCAGUGGGGAAGAUAAUGACGGUACCCACAGAAGAAGCCCCGGCUAACUCCGUGCCAGCAGCCGCGGUAAUACGGAGGGGGCUAGCGUUAUUCGGAAUUACUGGGCGUAAAGCGCACGUAGGCGGAUUGGAAAGUC